AUAGUUUAACGGUAGAACGACGGUCUCCAAAACCGUUGGUGGGGGUUCGAAUGCAUUGUGU
rnacentral:tRNA from 1 species